rnacentral:rRNA from 1 species
GGUUCGAUUAUGGCUCAGAUUGAACGCCGGCGGGAUGCUUUACACAUGCAAGUCGAACGGCAGCACGGACUUCGGUCUGGUGGCGAGUGGCGCGAACGCGAGUAAUGUAUCGGAACGCCUAGUAGCGGGGGAUAACUACGGAAAAGCGUAGGGCCAAUACCGCACACGCCCUUCGGGGGAAAGCGGGGACCUUUCGGGCCUCGCACUAUUAGAGCGGCCGAUAUCGGAUUAGUGAAUAUAGUUGCGGGGUAACGGCUCACCAAGGCGACGAUCCGUGGCUGGUUUGAGAGGACGACCAGCCACACUGACUGGUGACACGGGCCCUGCGACUCACGGAGCGGCGUUAUGUGGGGAAUUUUGACAAUGGGGAAACCGAUCCAGCCAUCCCGCGUGUGCGAUGAAGGCCUUCGGGUUGUAAAGCACUUUUGGCAGGAAAAGAAACGGCACGGGAUAAUACCCUGCGCAACUGACGGUACCUGCAGAAUAAGCACCUACUAACUACGUGCCAGCAGCCGCGGUAAUACGUAGGGUGCAAGCGUUAAUCGGAAUUACUGGGCGUAAAGCGUGCGCAGGCGGUUCGAAAAAGAAAGAUGAAAUCCCAGAGUUUAACUUUGAACUGCAUUUUUAACUACUGAGCUAGAGUGUGUCAGAGGGAGGUGGAAUUCCGCGUGUAGCAGUGAAAUGCGUAGAUAUGCGGAGGGAACACCGAUGGCGAAGGCAGCCUCCUGGGAUAACACUGACGCUCAUGCACGAAAGCGUGGGAGCAAACAGAUUAGAUAAUUCCGGUAGUCCACGCCCUAAACGAUGUCAACUAGCUGUUGGGCCUUCGGCCGGUAGCGCAGCUAACGCGUGAAGUUGACCGCCUGGGGAGUACGGUCGCAAGAUUAAAACCCGGGCGAACAUUGGGACCCGCAUGGCGGUGGAUGAUGUGGAUUAAUUCGAUGCAACGCGAAAAACCUUACCUACCCUUGACAUGUCUGAAUCCCGAAGAGAUUUGGAGUGUUUGUAAGAGAACCGGUUCACAGGCGAUGGCUGCCGCCAGCUCGUGUCGUGAGAUGUUGGGUUAAGUCCCGCAACGAGCGCAACCCUUGUCAUUAGUUGUUACUAAGCAGCACUCUCGACGAGACUGCCGGUGACAACCGAGGAAGGUGGGGAUGACGUCAAGUCCUCACGGCCCUUAUGGGUAGGGCUUCACACGUCAUACAAUGGUCGGGACAGAGGGUCGCCAACCCGCGAGGGGGGCCAAUCCCAGAAACCCGAUCAGAAGUCCGGAUCGCAGUCUGCAACUCGACUGCGUGAAGUCGGAAUCGCUAGUAAUCGCGGAUCAGCAUGUCGCAGUAACAUGUUCCCGGGUCUUGUACACACACCGCCCGUCACACCAGCGGAGUGGGUUUCCAUUGUAGCGCAGCAGCCUAACCGUAAGGAGGGCGAUUACCACAGGACUGGCAUCAGUGAAGUCGUAACAAGGUAA